AGUCAAACAUAUUUUCAUAUAUCUCUUGGCUGUUUCAGAUGUACAUGUAAGCAUGGCUACACCUGCUUUUCUGUGGAUGUUAUUUGCUUGGAGAAUCAUUUUCCUCCCUUUUACUUUGAAUCUACCUAUGUCUUUGCACCUUAGUUGUAUCUCUUGUAGUCAGCAUAAGUUGUUGUUGUUGUUGUUUUUCAAUCCAAUCUGCUACUCUGUGCCUCUUUAUUGGUGAUUUCAGACCAUUUACAUUUAGGUUAAUUAUUGAUGUAUGAGGAUUUCCUAUAGCCAUUUUAUCUUUUGUUUCCUGCUAGCUCUGUGCCUCCAUUGGUUCUUUUCCUUUAU